CCUACGGGAGGCAGCAGUGGGGAAUAGUGGGCAAUGGGCGAAAGCCUGACCCAGCAACGCCGCGUGAAGGAAGAAGGCUUUCGGGUUGUAAACUUCUUUUGACAGGGAAGAGAAGCAGACGGUACCUGUCGAAUAAGCCACGGCUAACUACGUGCCAGCAGCCGCGGUAAUACGUAGGUGGCAAGCGUUGUACGGAUUUACUGGGGGUAAAGGGCGUGUAGCCGGGCUGACAAGUCAGAUGUGAAAUCCGGGGGCUCAACCCCCGAACUGCAUGUGAAACUGUUGGUCUUGAGUAUCGGAGAGGCAGGCGGAAUUCCUAGUGUAGCGGUGAAAUGCGUAGAUAUUAGGAGGAACACCAGUGGCGAAGGCGGCCUGCUGGACGACAACUGACGGUGAGGCGCGAAAGCGUGGGGAGCAAACAGGAUUAGAUACCCCAGUAGUC
rnacentral:rRNA from 1 species